ensembl:lncRNA
UAGCUGAGCCUGAAACCUUGGAACCAGAUUCAAACUGGAGUUACAAAUGUGUGACUCUUCUGCACCAGGAUGGCAGCUGAGGAGGAAAACUUUGUGCUCUGAGUGAGAAGAAAAGUGGAGCUCCAGGAAAGAAACAGAGGAACACCACCCACUCCAGGAAAGAAACAGAAAGAAGAGCCCCCAGAGGAGGAAGGCAGAGAUUGUGCACAUGACGGUAUGAGCCAGUGUUGACCAUAAUCCUUACAGAUGAGGCCAACACUUCAAAGGAGGCAGAGCAACAAUGAAGAACUAGCUUGGAUCCUCAAAUGACCUCCUGGAGUGGAGCCACCUACUUACCUUGGACCACAGAUGAGAAAUAAAUAAACUGUUUUAUCUAAAG